rnacentral:lncRNA from 1 species
UCUAAGAGUCUCCCAAGGAGCCAGAACAGUCAAAGAAGCUUUGAAACAACUGACUAGAGUCUGAGGAGUCAUGUUGACCAAUGGGGAACACUCACCAACUGUGUGAUAAUGAGAGAUCUAAACACCAUGAGACCCAGGGGCUUUGUGUUUUUCGUCUAUGCUGUGCCAUUGUGGAGGAAGUGGAUGCUGCCAUGAACGCAAAACCACACAAGGUGGAUGGAAGAGUUGUGGAACCUAAGAGCGCUGGGUCAAGAGAGGAUUCUCAGAGACCAGGUGAAAAAGAUCUUUGUUUGGUUAUAUUAAAGAAGACACUGAAGAACAUCACCUAGGAGCUUAUUUUGAGUAUUAUGGAAAAAUUGAAUUGAAAAAAAAAUAUGACUGACAGCAGCAGUUAAAAAAAAAAAAAAAGAGGCAGUUUGCUUUGAUGACCAUGACUCUGUGGUUAAGAUUGUUAUUUAGAAACACCAUACUGUGAAUGGUCACAACUGUGAAGUAAGAAAAGGUUUGUUGAAACAAGAGAUGGCUAGUACUUCAUCCAGACAGAGAGCUCGAAAUGAUUCUAGCAACUUUAGUGGUGUUUGUAGAAGUGGUUUUGUUGGCAAUGACGAUUUUGGUCAAAAAGGAAAUCUUCAGUGGUCCUGGUAGCUUUGGUGGCAGCCCUGGUGCUGGUGGAUAUGGUGGCAGUGGGGGACUGUGGGGAUGGCUAUAACGUAUUUGGUAAUGAUGGAAGCAAUUUUAGAGAUGGUAGAAGGUAUAAAAUUUUUGACAAUUACAACAAUCAGUUUUAAGAUUUUGGACCGAUGAAGGGAGAAAACUUUGGAGGCAAGAACUCUAGCCCUUAUAGUGAUGAAGGCCAGUACUUCACUAAACCAAACGUGGCUAUGGAGGUUCCAGCAGCAGCAACAGCUAUGGCAAUGGCAGA